CGACGGCGGUUCCUCUUCCUGACUGCAGUGGAUCAGGAGGAUUUUACGCCGUCGCAGAUGAACGAGUCUGUUUCACCCAGAGAGCCGCAGGCCGCCGCCCGCUCACCGCUUCCUGGUUUUGCGAGACUCAACAAAA